rnacentral:rRNA from 1 species
AGCGUUAUUCGGAAUUACUGGGCGUAAAGCGUACGUAGGCGGCUUUGCAAGUUAGAGGUGAAAGCCUGGAGCUCAACUCCAGAACUGCCUUUGAUACUGAGAAGCUUGAGUCCGGGAGAGGUGAGUGGAACUGCGAGUGUAG